GGCACCCUCUAAACUCUGCAAACUGAAACUGGAACCAUGGUUACCACAUCCUGUUCAUUUUCCAAUUUAGCUCAACCCCUGUGUCCUGCCCAAUAGAAGUGGCACCAUGGCCCCCAAACUCAUCACCGUCCUGUGUCUGGGAUUCUGCCUGAACCAGAAGAUCUGCCCACAUGCGGGUGCUCAGGACAAGUUCUCCCUGUCAGCCUGGCCGAGCCCUGUGGUUCCCCUAGGAGGACGUGUGACUCUCUCCUGUCAUUCCCAUCUUCGGUUUGUCAUAUGGACAAUAUUCCAAACAACUGGGACCCGAAGCCAUGAGUUGCACACUGGCCUUUCCAACAACAUCACCAUCAGCCCUGUGACCCCAGAACACGCAGGGACCUACAGAUGUGUUGGAAUUUACAAGCACGCCUCAAAGUGGUCAGCUGAGAGCAACUCCCUGAAGAUCAUCGUCACAGGCUUGUUCACAAAACCCUCCAUCUCAGCGCACCCAAGCUCCCUGGUGCAUGCAGGAGCCAGGGUGAGCCUGCGCUGUCACUCAGAACUGGCCUUUGAUGAAUUUAUCUUAUACAAAGAGGGGCACAUACAGCAUUCCCAGCAGCUUGACCAGGGGAUGGAGGCUGGGAUCCAUUACGUCGAGGCUGUCUUUUCCAUGGGUCCUGUAACGCCUGCCCAUGCAGGAGCCUACAGAUGCUGUGGUUGUUUCAGUCACUCCCGCUAUGAGUGGUCGGCUCCCAGUGACCCCCUGGACAUUGUGAUCACAGGAAAAUACAAAAAGCCUUCUCUCUCCACCCAGGUGGACCCCAUGAUGAGGCUGGGAGAGAAGUUGACCCUCUUCUGCAGCUCUGAAAUCUCAUUUGACCAGUACCAUCUGUUCAGACACGGGGUUGCUCAUGGACAGUGGCUCAGUGGAGGGCAGAGACACAGGGAAGCAUUCCAGGCCAACUUUUCUGUGGGCCGUGCAACGCCAGUCCCUGGCGGGACCUAUAGAUGCUAUGGUUCCUUCAAUGACUCUCCCUAUAAGCCCCCAGUGACCCGCUGCAACUUUACACCACAGGAAACACUAAGAGUACUCCUCUGUCAUUCACAGAAUCCACCCCUGAAUCUGACACACCUCGCCCUCAAGGACAGUCCAGCAACCUGCAUAUGCUCACUGGACUCUCAGUAGCCAUCAUCUCCAUUGGCGUUUGCCUCUCUGCUUUUAUUGGUUUCUGGUGUUACAUAAAAUAUCACACCACCAUGGCAAACACAGAGCCCACGGAAGGCCAACGGACGGAUGAAGAGGAGCCUGCAGCAGAAGAGACACAGGAGAUCAUAUAUGCCCAGUUAAACCACCAGGCCCUCUCACAGACAGGAUUCCCUCCUGCCUCCCAGUGUCCCCACUACCUCUCGGAGGAUCCUAGUAUCUACAUCACUGUCCACCAAGCCCAGGCUGAGGCCAGAGCUGCCCCCAGUCUUUGGCACAAAGGGCAUUAAUACGCAAGGACCUGGAUCUAUUCCUAGGAGGAUUUUUUUUCCACGGACAUUCUUCCUCCUUCUGGUACCAUCUUGACACCUCGAAGCUGGCAACAGCAGUGUCUGAAUGCUUGUGGGAUUAUCUUAAAAUUCCAGCACUGCUGAACAGACAACUAGCCAUUCUACAAUUCUAUUUUGAGCAUCCAACCAUUUAAGGUGAUUUGACUCUACCCACACACUCAUCCUGGAUAUCUCAUUAAUAUCAUCUGAGUUAUCCUGAAACUCUACAGACAUGCUUCUGGAAAGCCGAUGUAUAUGCUCAGCCAGUUUAAUCUCUAAAUUACUCAAUAAGGUUUUUUUAAAAAAAUUUUUUUAAAGUUCUGGGGUACAUGCUCAGGAUGUGCAGGUUUGUUACGUAGGUAAACGUGUGCCAUGGUGGUUUGCUGCACCUAUCAAACCGUCACCUAGGUAUUAAGCCCAGCAGGCAUUAGCUCUCUUCCCUAAUGCUCUCCAUACCCCCUGCCCUCCUCUGACAGGCCCCAGUGAAUGUGUUCCCCUCCCUGUGUCCAUGUGUUCUCAUUGUUCAGCUCCCACUUAUAAGUGAAAACAUGCGGUGUCUGGUUUUCUGUUCCUGCAUUAGUUUGCUGAGGAUAAUGUCUUCUAGCUUCAUUCAUGUCUCUGCAAAUGAUAUGAUCUCAUUCCUUUUUAUGACUGCGUAGUAUUCCGUGGUGUAUAUGUACAACUUUAUUUUUAUCCAGUCUAUCAUUGAUGGGCAUUUGGGUUGAUUCCACGUCUUUGCUGUUACUCAACAAAAUUUUGCAGAGAUGAAGUGUAUUCUAUAUCUGAGUCAUCUAAUAUGGUAGCCACUAGCCAAAUAUGGCUUUUUAACUUAGAAUUAGAAUAGAUCAAAUUCCAUGAAGUUUAAAAUUCAGUUCCUCAGCCACAUGGCCACAAUUUGAGUUCUCAGAGCCACGUGUGGCUGCUGGCUGUGGGAGAGAAUAGCAUGAACACAAAAUGUUUUCCUUGUCAGAGGAAGUUCUAGCUGUUCUAGAUUAAAGGUGCAAAUUUGAAGAUGCAGAGCCUAUUUUCUCAUGCAGUGCAGGCUCCUGGAAGAGACCUAAUGUAACAAAACGAUAAUAUUUCACAUCAAUGGUGACAUGUCUUUAUCUUACGAAAUGCGGGGAACAAGCAGAGUUCUCUUGUGGAGUGUCUUAUCACCUCUUAUCCUCAUGCAAAUUUCUGCCAUAGAGAUUUUCUCCCAAACUUUGAGAAGGUCACCUCUGUCAGGCCUCUGAGCCCAAGCUAAGCCAUCCUAUCCCCUGUGACCUGCACGUACACAUCCAGAUGGCCUGAAGCAACUGAAGAUUCACAAAAGAAGUGAAAAUAGCCUUAACUGAUGACAUUCCACCACUGUGACUUGUUCCCGCCCCACUAACUGAUACCAUAUAUUCUGCCCCGCCCAAGAAGGUACUUUGUAAUAUUCCUCGCCCCCUUACCCCCCACCGCCCUGCCCCCGCUCGCCCGCCUUAAGAAGGUACUUUGUAAUAUUCUCCCCCACAACUUUAGAAGGUACUUUGUAAUAUUCUCCCCCACAACUUUAGAAGGUACUUUGUAAUAUUCUCCCCCACAACUUUAGAAGGUACUUUGUAAUAUUCUCCCCCACAACUUUAGAAGGUACUUUGUAAUAUUCUCCCCCACAACUUUAGAAGGUACUUUGUAAUAUUCUCCCCCACAACUUUAGAAGGUACUUUGUAAUAUUCUCCCCCACAACUUUAGAAGGUACUUUGUAAUAUUCUCCCCUCCCCUUAAGAAGGUACUUCAAGGCUGGGUGCGGUGGCUCAUGUCUGUAAUCCCAGCACUCUGGGGGGCCGAGGUGGGUGGAUCACGAGGUCAGGAGAUCGAGACCAUCCUGGCUAAUGUGGUGAAACCCCGUCUCUACUAAAAAAAUACAAAACACUUAGCUGGGCAUGGUGGCGGGUGCCUGUAGUCCCAGCCACUUGGGAGUCUGAGGCAGGAGAAUGGCGUGAACCCAGGAGGCAGAGCUUGCAGUGAGCUGAGAUCGCGCCACUGCACUCCAGCCUGGGCGAUAGAGCAAGACUCUGUCUCAAAAAAAAAAAAAAAAAAAAAAAAAAAA